AAACAUUAAGUUGGCAAUUAGAUUGUUGCAUAGCGACUGACGUAUAUGCCAAACAUUCGAAUAGGCCAAAACCCAACAGUCCAAUUGAAUCAAAUAAUACUGCGGAGCGUUAUAGAUCAAGAUUUUCGGACAGUAGUGGCUGAAGACCAAGUCAAGCGUGAAGAUAAGAAAUGUCAAUGGACAACGGUUUAGCUGGAACAAUAAGCUACUUAAUUACUUCGAAGUAAAUAACAUUUGUUAUCGAUGGAGCUGGCAAUAAUUAUAGUGAAAUUAAGUGUAAACAUUUUUAACGGGAAUUCAGGGAAAUAGCAAUAUACCAGAAUCUUACGCAUUUGGAUGAAGGAUUUUUAACACUCGUCCCAGAUCCGCUUUAAGUAUUAAGCACCAAAUUCGGCUUAACAUGGCAUCCAUACAAUUUGACCAGCUGUACUUUUCAAACUUUCCAAAUUUAACAAUGAAAAAUGCAACAAAAACUUGCAACAUGCUGUAACUUUAGCAGUAAAAACUUUUGUAAUAACUCUUGUACGGCUUGUCUGAAAAAAUGCGUGCUUCUAUAAAAUAAAAUUUGUUUUCGUUGGCAUAUGAAAGCAAAAUUAACGAAUCA